rnacentral:rRNA from 1 species
AUUGAACGCUGGCGGCAUGCCUUACACAUGCAAGUCGAACGGUAACAGGUCUUCGGAUGCUGACGAGUGGCGAACGGGUGAGUAAUACAUCGGAACGUGCCCGAUCGUGGGGGAUAACGAAGCGAAAGCUUUGCUAAUACCGCAUACGAUCUACGGAUGAAAGCAGGGGACCGCAAGGCCUUGCGCGAACGGAGCGGCCGAUGGCAGAUUAGGUAGUUGGUGGGAGAAAAGCUUAACAAGCCGACGAUCUGUAGCUGGUCUGGGAGGACGACCAGCCACACUGGGACUGAGACACGGCCCAGACUCCUACGGGAGGCAGCAGUGGGGAAUUUUGGACAAUGGGCGAAAGCCUGAUCCAGCCAUGCCGCGUGCAGGAUGAAGGCCUUCGGGAUGUAAACUGCUUUUGUACGGAACGAAAAGACUCUGGUUAAUACCUGGGGUCCAUGACGGUACCGUAAGAAUAAGCACCGGCUAACUACGUGCCAGCAGCCGCAGUAACAC